rnacentral:tRNA from 2 species
CGGGCCGUAGCGCAGUUUGGUAGCGCACCUGACUGGGGGUCAGGGGGUCGCGAGUUCAAAUCUCGCCGGCCCGACAA